rnacentral:rRNA from 1 species
CCUACGGGAGGCUGCAGUGGGGAAUUGUUCGCAAUGGGCGCAAGCCUGACGACGCAAUGCCGCGUGGAGGAUGAAGGUCUUCGGAUUGUAAACUCCUGUUGCCAGGGACGAAUGGCUCCGACCUAAUACGUCGGAGUAUGACGGUACCUGGUGAGGAAGCCCCGGCUAACUCUGUGCCAGCAGCCGCGGUAAUACAGAGGGGGCAAGCGUUGUUCGGAAUUACUGGGCGUAAAGGGCGCGUAGGCGGCCCGCUAAGUCGAACGUGAAAUCCCCAG